UUUUAUGAUGAGACCAAGGCUACAAAGCCAUUUGCUAUAAACCCAGCUCUUCGAAGAAUUUAAUUUUCAUGAGACACCUUUUUUGUCAAAUGCUCUGACU